rnacentral:rRNA from 1 species
GCUGGCGGCAGGCCUAACACAUGCAAGUCGAGCGCGUGUAGCAAUACACGAGCGGCAGACGGGAGAGUAACACGUGGGAACGUACCCUUCGGUUCGGAAUAACCCAGGGAAACUUGGACUAAUACCGGAUACGUCCGAAAGGAGAAAGAUUUAUCGCCGAAGGAUCGGCCCGCGGCUGAUUAGCUAGUUGGUGAGGUAACGGCUCACCAAGGCGACGAUCGGUAGCUGGUCUGAGAGGAUGAUCAGCCUCACUGGGACUGAGACACGGCCCAGACUCCUACGGGAGGCAGCAGUGGGGAAUAUUGGACAAUGGGCGCAAGCCUGAUCCAGCCAUGCCGCGUGGGUGAUGAAGGCCCUAGGGUUGUAAAGCCCUUUCGGCGGGGAAGAUAAUGACGGUACCCGCAGAAGAAGCCCCGGCUAACUUCGUGCCAGCAGCCGCGGUAAUACGAAGGGGGCUAGCGUUGCUCGGAAUCACUGGGCGUAAAGCGCACGUAGGCGGAUCGUUAAGUCG